CACGCCGUAAACGAUGAGAACUAGCUGUCCGGGCACUUGGUGCUUGGGUGGCGCAGCUAACGCAUUAAGUUCUCCGCCUGGGGAGNACGCGCAGAACCUUACCAGCGUUUGACAUGUCCGGACGAUUUCCAGAGAUGGAUCUCUUCCCUUCGGGGACUGGAACACAGGUGC
rnacentral:rRNA from 1 species